GGAUGAAGUCCUUCAUGGAUUCAUUUUAUGUUCUUUCAUUGUUCUUCAUAACAAUUUUCUACAUUGUUAUCUUGUAUUUUUACAUUUUAUUCUUAUUGUGUUUUAGAGGCGAUGUUGUUCAGCUGGCAGGAGAGGGAGCAACGACAACCGGCCCCAAUAAUGAGCGAUUAACUGCUUCUGCUAUUCCAUCACAUCUUCAGUGUGUCAACAUGAAAGUUGUUGCUGUUUCCACCUUCUUGCAGACACGUGGGCAUAUAUUCCUUACUGAAGCACCGAACAAGGAUAUAUGCUAUGCUGACGCUGGUGGAGCAGCGAUGUACAACGGCAUGAUUUAUGGAGUGAUUUCUUUUUUUGGAGCAGACUAUGCAUGUCAGCAAUCAACUGUAAUCAUGGAUGUGUGUGAAUACCUUGAGUGGAUAAAACAAAAAACUGGCCUUGAAUAAAACAUAAACUAUCAUGAAAUAAAAUUCUCAUCAAAUUUCCUCUCACAUAUAAUUUUAUAAUUGUAUCUUCAUCAGUUUGAUCCACAUGUUUGUAGAAUUAGAAUAAAUUCAUUGUUUUGUUUUUUUCCUCACCUGAUCUUCACCUCCCUCAUGGAGUUUUCUCUUCACCUCAGAAAUGAAAAAUAAAUCAAUAC